GGAAGAAAUAGAGUAGCUUCGAAGCCAUUGAAAUCUCUGAGAGUGGAAGAAAGAGAAAGGGAUAUAGUAGUGCGAUAUUUGUCACAGAUUCUCAAAUCGGGGAUUUUGACUGAGUUAACUCACCGAGUUCUAUUCUUGAAAAACCCCAAACUUGACAAUGGUUCAGCUAAUGAGUACCAAGAAAUCUUCAGUGAAGGUUGAAGUUGAGGAGUCUUUGGAGGAUCAACUCGGUCCUAUUCACAAACGCUCCAAACUCGAUUCGUCUUUGCAGAUGAUUCCUGUUGCUUCUCUUUGCAAUCCACUUGACGAGCCUAGCCCGCUCGGAUUGCGUCUCAAAAAGAGUCCUUCCUUUUGGAUUUAAUACAAAUGAAGCUUUCUCAACAAAAUAAUAUGAAGAAAGAUCACAAGGCUACUGGUAGUACUGCUACUGAUAAGCUGAAAGCCUCUAAUUUUCCUGCUUCGCUUCUGAAAGUUGGGAGCUGGGAGUAUAAGUCGAGAUAUGAAGGGGACUUGGUGGCAAAAUGUUAUUUUGCGAAGCACAAGCUAGUGUGGGAAGUGCUUGAUGGUGGUCUUAAGAAUAAGAUCGAAAUUCAGUGGUCGGAUAUUGUGGCUAUCAAGGCGAAUUUCCCUGAUGAUGGACCUGAAACCUUGGACGUUGUGUUGGCUAGACAGCCCCUUUUCUUUAGGGAGACCAAUCCACAACCUAGGAAGCAUACUUUGUGGCAAGCAACGUCAGAUUUUACUGGUGGACAAGCCAGCAUGCACAGGCGUCAUUUUCUGCAGUGCCAACAAGGGUUCUUAAGCAAGCAUUUCGAAAAACUUAUUCAGUGUGAUCCUCGUCUCAACUUUCUAAGUCAACAACCUGAAAUUUUGUUGGAAACUCCAUAUUUCGAACAAAGGCAUUGUACAUUUGGUGACUUGAAUGAAACGACUGAGGUGCUUGAUUCAAAGGCUGAGGAGACACGUGCUGUGUUUGCUUUAGGGGAUGCAGCAUCACCUUCUGGAGUCCUUUCUUCUUCCUUGAAUGAUGAGCAGCAAGUUUUCAUUGGCAGGACUCCCGAAAGUUCUUCUCAGGAAACUUCUUCGCCUAGCACAGUGAUGGAUAACGAUGCAGCUGAAAAAAUAAGGAGUUUGAAAAGAGGAAGGCAAAUACCAAGCCAUUGGGAUCAAAUUAAGGUGCCUGGACUUCAGCCAUCCAUGUCAAUGAGCGACCUAGUUAACCACCUUGGACAAUGCAUCUCAGAACAGAUGACAUCUGGAAAUCCUACUAUUUCAAAUGGCGACCUGAAGAACAGUGACAUUCUGGAGGAGAUUACUCAAUAUUUGCUUAGCGACUCUCAACUUACAUCAGCAUCAGACGAGCAGCGCCUCAUGUCAAGGGUCAAUUCUCUUUGCUGUCUGCUGCAGAGAGAUCCUGGAUCAGCACGGAAUUUGCAGGCUAAAAGUUGCAUUGAUCUUGAAGUAGAUAGUAAAGUGAGAAGAGGUGAAACUAAAUCCAUCAGCACAACAGUCUGCCAGGAUAAAUUUGUUGAGAGUUUUCCAGUGCCUGACGACCAGUCCAAUAGUGUUUCCAGCUGCAAGCAGGCACCAACCAUGUCAAGGAAGGAUUCAGUUGGGGACCUACUGCUUAAUCUGCCAAGGAUUGCUUCCCUCCCACAAUUUUUGCAUAAUAUGUAGGGAGCUUCAGAUCAGCAAGUGGAAAGAAUGAUGUAUGCCGUCAAUUUCAACUAUCUUGCGCAGGAAGUCUCUCCUUGAUAUGUGGUUAUUGUGUUUGCACUUUACUUUUUGUAAAUUGUAGAAGCUUUAAGGAUUUAGAAAUAUCAUAUUGAUGAAGGAUCCUCGCAUGUUUAUUCCAGGAACAUGGUAGUCCUUUGUCUGUACAGCCUGCUGUAAUCCUAUUAGCGUCUGGAGUGUAUUACAAUCUUUUCUAGUCCAUUCAGUUUUAAAUGUAGUGUAUUUUAUGUAGGACAAAUCCCUCAAAUUAUAAUGCUUUUGCCCCAAUCGUUCUGUUA